UACGGAGGGUGCAAGCGUUAUCCGGAUUUACUGGGUUUAAAGGGUGUGUAGGCGGGCUUUUAAGUCAGUGGUGAAAUCUCCGGGCUCAACCUGGAAACUGCCAUUGAUACUAUUAGUCUUGAAUAUUUGUUGAGGUAGGCGGAAUAAAGUUCAUGUAGCGGUGAAAUGCAUAGAUAUGACUUAGAACACCAAUUCGAAGGCAGCUUGCUAAACAA
rnacentral:rRNA from 1 species